rnacentral:rRNA from 1 species
GAUUGGGUGAAUGUUUCCUGCAAUGGGCGAAAGCCUGACGGAGCAAUACCUGCGUGAGGGAGGAAGGCUCGUUGCGGUUGUAAAGCCUCUUUUCUCAGGGGAUAUAAUGAACUGAAGGUACCUGAGGAAUCAGCACUCGGCUAACUCCGCUNCCAGCAGCCGCGGAUAAUACGGAGGAUGCAAGCGUUAUCCGGAAUGAUUGGGCGUAAAGCGUCCGCAGGUGGUUUAUCAAGUCUGCUGUCAAAGAGUUUGGCUCAACCAAAUAAAGGCAGUGGAAACUGACAGACUGGAGUGCGGUAAGGGCAGAGGGAAUUCCUGNUGUACCGGUGAAAUGCGUAGAGAUCAGGAANAACACCGGUGGCGAAAGCGCUC